GCACAAACCAGCACAAACGGAGCACAAACGAACGAGCAUAGUUUGACGACGUUUUGCGUUGGUGGGGGGGCCAACUUCACGCAGGUGAAACAAACAGGUACGCGGGACUAGGCAGAACCUCAGACUGAGCUGAACGAGCAGGACGUACAAGAUACGACUAACAAUCCGGCAGGAACGAGACGUCAAAGCUCCUCUUAAAUGUUGCCGAUAUGCAGUCAUCGGUGAUCUCCAACAAGCCAGGACCAUCAAACCCCCGGCAGUGAAGGAUGACUUCUACGCUGCCAUCUCCGCUGCUGCCAGGCGCCUACGCAUUCCAAUGCCCGUGCCGGAGGAGGAUCUCUUUGUGGCCGUGCGAUGAAUGCAGGCUCGCCGUCCGAUGCGAAAUGCGGCGCCGUGGAGAAAGCGUGGGGUCCCCCUUCAUGACCCGGGGUACGGUCAAGUCCCACCUGGCCUUCACCACGGUGGAGGGACGGCUGGAGACUUUGAGUAAGGGCAUACCACCCCUGGAAUCCGCCCUGGCGACUUCCCUGGUCCCGGGCCUGAGCACCUGGAGCGACAAGCGCCCAGCUCUACCCUCCAUGAAGGACCGUGUCUCCGCCAGCCUGGUGGAGAAGCAGUACGCCUUGUCUCUGCAGUCCCUCCUGGUGGGCUGCAACAACGUGGGCCUCCUGGCGGCGGCUGUGGACGGGAUGACCGAGGGUCGCACCUCGUUAUCUCCGGCUGAGGUGAGUGAGGUGGCUAGGGCUUCGGCGGCCAUUCUCAAACUCACCCAGGCUAACUCCCUCUCUGCUGGCCAGGUGAUGGCCUAGUUGGUUGUGCAGGUCAGGCACUUGUGGCUGGCGCUGACGUCCCUGAAGGAGCCCGAGACAAUGUCGUUCCUCAAUGCCCCGCUGCAGGAGGACGCUCUCUUCGGUGCCACAGUCACGGAGGCCCUGGUGCGCUAGAAGAAGGACAGAGAGGAGCGUCUCCGGCUGGGUCCCCUUUUGCCGGUUCCCGCUUUCUCUUCGGUGUCCGCUGGCCCCUCAAGGCUUCAGGUUCACGGAGGCCUGGGGGUCGACUGCGUCGCUGUACACGACAUCGCCGGUUAGAUCUACAUAGCAGAACCCACAGGUCUCUGCAAAGGACCUUCAGAACAGUUUAGCUGACAAUGAAGUUGUUGCUCACAGGUCCACCGCACAAUGUACCUUACACAGCAUGUUCACAUUUGUGUAAUAUGUCGAAUCUAUGGAAAAUGCAUAAAUGGUAAUCCUGUAUAAACUUGUGCAAAAGGGAGGCCUGUUUCACUUCGUAACAUGUGGAGCUCAGAUCAACUGUAUUGUAACUGCAAUAAGCAGCAUUCCCAACCAUCAACCUCCUAAUGAUGUCCCUCUAAUGUAUCACAUAUAACCAAGCAAUGGCUG
ensembl:lncRNA